UCUGCUGAUGGGGAUGAAAGGCAUUUGA
rnacentral:piRNA from 1 species